rnacentral:rRNA from 2 species
UAUUGCUCUUCAACGAGGAAUCCCUAGUAAGCGCAAGUCAUCAACUUGCGUUGAUUACGUCCCUGCCCUUUGUACACACCGCCCGUCGCUACUACCGAUUGAAUGGCUCAGUGAGGCUCUCGGACUGGCCCAGGGGGGCGGGCAACCCCCCCCCCGGGCGGGGAAGUUAUCCAAACUCGGUCAUUUAGAGGAAGUAAAAGU